GACGAACGCUGGCGGCGUGCCUAAUACAUGCAAGUAGAACGCACAGUUUAUACCGUAGCUUGCUACACCAUAAACUGUGAGUUGCGAACGGGUGAGUAACGCGUAGGUAACCUGCCUGGUAGCGGGGGAUAACUAUUGGAAACGAUAGCUAAUACCGCAUAAUAUUGAUUAUUGCAUGAUAAUUGAUUGAAAGAUGCUAUUGCAUCACUACCAGAUGGACCUGCGUUGUAUUAGCUAGUAGGUGAGGUAACGGCUCACCUAGGCGACGAUACAUAGCCGACCUGAGAGGGUGAUCGGCCACACUGGGACUGAGACACGGCCCAGACUCCUACGGGAGGCAGCAGUAGGGAAUCUUCGGCAAUGGACGAAAGUCUGACCGAGCAACGCCGCGUGAGUGAAGAAGGUUUUCGGAUCGUAAAGCUCUGUUGUAAGAGAAGAACGGGUGUGAGAGUGGAGAGUUCACACUGUGACGGUAUCUUACCAGAAAGGGACGGCUAACUACGUG
rnacentral:rRNA from 1 species